rnacentral:piRNA from 1 species
UACUUUGUGCUCCUUGAUGCCAUGAUCAAC